CCCUUAGAUGUUCUGGGCCGCACGCGCGCUACACUGAUGCAUUCAACGAGUCCAACCUUGACCGAGAGGUCCGGGUAAUCUUUGAAACUGCAUCGUGAUGGGGCUAGAUUAUUGCAAUUAUUAAUCUUCAACGAGGAAUGCCUAGUAAGCGUGAUUCAUCAAAUCGCGUUGAUUACGUCCCUGCCCUUUGUACACACCGCCCGUCGCUCCUACCGAUUGAAUGUUCCGGUGAGCUCUUCGGACUGCGCGGUCUGCAGUUUCUGCGUUCCGUGCGGAAAGUUGCGCAAACCUUAACAUUUAGAGGAAGGAGAAGUCGUAACA
rnacentral:rRNA from 1 species